UGGGGAAUAUUGGACAAUGGGCGAAAGCCUGAUCCAGCAAUGCCGCGUGUGUGAAGAAGGCCUGCGGGUUGUAAAGCACUUUUGGCAGGGAAGAAAAGCACGGGUCUAACACGCUCGUGUAUUGACGUCACCUGCAGAAGAAGCACCGGCUAACUCUGUGCCAGCAGCCGCGGUAAUACAGAGGGUGCAAGCGUUAAUCGGAAUUACUGGGCGUAAAGCGCGCGUAGGCGGUCGAGUAAGUUGGGUGUGAAAUCCCCGGGCUUAACCUGGGAAUUGCAUUCGAUACUGCUUGGCUAGAGUGUGGAAGAGGGAAGCGGAAUUUCCGGUGUAGCGGUGAAAUGCGUAGAUAUCGGAAGGAACACCAGUGGCGAAGGCGGCUUCCUGGUCCAACACUGACGCUGAGGCGCGAAAGCGUGGGGAGCGAACAGG
rnacentral:rRNA from 1 species